rnacentral:rRNA from 1 species
UACGUAGGGUGCGAGCGUUGUCCGGAAUUAUUGGGCGUAAAGGGCUCGUAGGCGGUUUGUCGCGUCGGGAGUGAAAUCCACUGGCUUAACUGGUGGCUUGCUUUCGAUACGGGCAGACUGGAGGUAUGCAGGGGAGAACGGAAUUCCUGGUGUAGCGGUGAAAUGCGCAGAUAUCAGGAGGAACACCGGUGGCGAAGGCGGUCUCUGGGCAU